rnacentral:tRNA from 1 species
UCAUCUUUAACUUAUAAGGUAAAGUGUAGUAUUCGAAACUAUUCAAAUUGGUUCGACUCCAAUAAGGUGCC